rnacentral:rRNA from 1 species
CCUACGGGAGGCAGCAGUAAGGAAUAUUGGUCAAUGGACGCAAGUCUGAACCAGCCAUGCCGCGUGAAGGAUUAAGGUCCUCUGGAUUGUAAACUUCUUUUAUCUGGGACGAAAAAAGGCGAUUCUUCGUCACUUGACGGUACCAGAUGAAUAAGCACCGGCUAACUCCGUGCCAGCAGCCGCGGUAAUACGGAGGGUGCAAGCGUUAUCCGGAUUCACUGGGUUUAAAGGGUGCGUAGGCGGGCAGGUAAGUCAGUGGUGAAAUCCUAGAGCUUAACUCUAGAACUGCCAUUGAUACUAUCUGUCUUGAAUAUUGUGGAGGUAAGCGGAAUAUGUCAUGUAGCGGUGAAAUGCUUAGAUAUGACAUAGAACACCUAUUGCGAAGGCAGCUUACUACGCAUAUAUUGACGCUGAGGCACGAAAGCGUGGGGAUCAAACAGGAUUAGAUACCCUGGUAGUCCACGCCCUAAACCGAUGAUUACUCGACAUUUGUGAUACACUAUAAGUGUNUGAGNGAAGANAUAAGUAAUACCACCGNGGAGUACGACCGACGAGUUAGAACGUACGAAGAGUAGUAGACGAGNGAGAGCGACGGACGGACGACGACGGAGGGAGGAG